rnacentral:rRNA from 1 species
UACGAAGGGGGCGAGCGUUGUUCGGAUUUACUGGGCGUAAAGGGCGCGUAGGCGGCCCUGUUUGUCGCGUGUGAAAGCCCCGGGCUCAACCUGGGAACGGCGCGCGAUACGGCGGGGCUAGAGAUCGGGAGAGGAGCGUGGAAUUCCCAGUGUAGAGGUGAAAUUCGUAGAUAUUGGGAAGAACACCGGUGGCGAAGGCGGCGCUCUGGACCGAGACUGACGCUGAGGCGCGAAAGCUAGGGGAGCAAACGGG